UCAGACUUCCCCCCAAUGAGAAGACCCAACAAGUGGAAUAUUUAAUUAAAUGUGGUAGAGUGUAAAGUUAGGGUUCCAAUUCAGAACCUGGCUCUGAUACCAUGUUAAAAUUGCAAAGAAUCUACUUUUUCCUUACUGCCAUACCAUUUUACAUUGAAAGAGAUUACAAUUAAAUAGAUACAUUGGCUAUGCUAUGUAUGAUAACCAUUGUGUAUAUGGUAACUAUGUAUAUUCUUAAUUCCUAAAAUCAUGUUGUUGCUGAUUUGGUUGAUCCUGUCAAUAGUUUUAUUGAACUGGUUGGGUGAGUGGCAAACCAUAUAUGAGUCCCCGCAUUGGUCAACCUGUGAAGAACUUGAGAGUGAAUUGUUGUAGCAAAAGGUCACUUCUGAUUGGUUUAACUCAGCCAUAUGUCCUGUGUCUUUUUUAAAAUUGGAGAGCCCCACCAAGAGGAGUGGAGGUCAAUUCCAUUGCUUUUGUCAUAGUCGAAGAAAAGUAAGGUAUAAAGGGGGAUUUCUCAUUUUGUUAAUAAAAUUUCUAUUAUAAAAAUGGCUCUUCUUUCUCAUAAUUCUCUCUCUCUCACUAUUUAUUUGUUUACAUGAUUUCUUAGGCCCUAUUACAUCGUUAGAGGUAACUUAUCUUUUCAACAUUCCAUUUUUACAUGACAUUUUCCUGUUGAGUCGGGCCCUUUUUUUAAAAUUCUUAUCUCAACUUUGAAAAUUGAAAUUCUGCAGAGUAAUCUGUUUGGCUUGCCAUGAUUGCUAAAAAAAGUAUUGAGCAAAGUGGAAGCAAGGAUGGCUGUUGGUAUGAGGAGGCACAUAAGAUGGCUGAAAGGGAUAUUGUAACAAACCUGAAUUUUGCAUGUCCAUUUUGGUGAAUAGUGUUGACAAAAAACAGCAGGAGUGUGGGGCUUAUGUCUAGAAUUUUUCCUAAAUUUUUUAUCCUCCCACCUUCUUGAGCGGUAAAGGGUGAAGUAUACCAAGUGGGUGACGGAUAAAAAGUGAAGCAACAGUUUCUCCCCUACGUUUUUAAUGGUUAGUUGCAGCAAUGGUAAGAGUAGAAUGAAUGUAUUUGGCUUUACAACUCAAUUUAGUGAAGAGAUAGCGGAUCCUGUCGGCAAGGCUGAGUAAUGCUGACUGCUCACCAACUAGAAAGAAAAGCUCUUUCACUCGUAUGGUGAAAAUGAGCAGACAUGUUUCUCCACUUUUCCUUAAUGCCAUACUUGGAGGAAUAACUUCAGGAGGGUCUUCAGCUAUUCAUCAAGUCUUGCAUGUGCUCGAAGAUUCUCGAACUUAAUAGAAGUAAGACUUUAUAUGCAGGUAUGGAAGACCCAGAUCAAGCCUAACGAUAUAAUGAGCUUUCAAUACUUUUGCAGCACUCAGAUCAGAAAUUCUGAAGAACAUGCUAGACUUCCAUGGAAGAAAAGUAUCAUUUAAUAAUACUGUUACUCGCAUGAGUGGAACCCCAAAGAGCUCGAGCCCCUCCUGUAGUUAUUCUCUAUACGAGGCUUCCCAGGAGAGAUCACUAACUUAAACUAUGUGAUGCCUCUUUAGAAAAAACAAAUAAAUAGUUUGGCUACUGAUGUUCUGAUUAUGUAGAUAAUGGUUUGUUUUACUAAGGUCUCAUCUAGACCUACUACUUUUGUUCCACUACUUUGUCUUUCUCCAUUAUCUUCUGCAAUGUGAAAAUUCUUGGUUAAAGUAAUUUACAUGGUACA